ensembl:lncRNA
AGGGUGCAUGAAGGUUGUGAAGGCUCUUGCCAAAGUGGAAGGAGCACAGCAGAGUUCAACGGGAGGAUGACCACUAAUGUGAUGAAAAUGAACUGACAGCAAGAAGGGUAUCAUGGGAGAGGUUUUAUGGACAUGAUCUGGAAGGUGGGCUGAGGAAGAUCCAAGUACAAGGUCUCAAAACUAUUGUUUCCAAGACAGCAUCUAGAAUUCACUAGCUGGUAUUAUGAAUUUGGGAUUCACAAGUCUGAUGUGCUGCAAACAGAAUGUGUUUCUUACGGAAACUUAUGCUACAAAUGCAGCAUAAACCUUUAAACUGCCUCAGAAGGGAAGAAGGAUAUAACUAAUAAGCUGUUUUGACGCUGCUCUGCAGCAUAACUACUUUCCAUAUGGACCUGACGAAGAAUUGUUGAGAAGAACUCAUUGUUCUUUCACCUUGGACCUGAUUCUGAUCUCAGAGUAGUUCCAUUUUCUUCAGUGAAACAUCUUGUAUCACACCAUAGCCUGUGAAGGAGAGCUGUCUGGAUGUCCCGCAAGUUUUGUUUAAGCCUUUCUUAAUCAAAGAAAGAACACUGUGCACCAGCUGUCAUGUUUCAACAACUGCAGAUCAGAAUGUUACUUUGCCCACAUCAUAUCCCAGGACAAUGAACAUAAAGAGAGACUGUUGGAACAUAACACUCAUUUCUGUCCAAUUUCUCUCAGACCAAGGAGAAGAAAAUGCAAUACAGACCAUGAUUCAGUCAGUUUCUGCCCCUAUACUGAGAUCUUUCUACGGAGAAAAGCAUGUUCCACCUGGAGGAAGAGAUGAUUUCAGAUCUGAAGACAGUCACACAUGAGAGCAAUGUGACACAAGUGUAUUACAUCCAAAAGUACAGAGCAAUACAGGGCCUGAGCUGCUUUGUGAGAGGGAAAAAUAUCAGAUAUACCCAUUCUUGCUUCUUCCUCAGGCACGAGGAGGUCCUGAAGUCUUUCCCUUUUGGAGUGGUUGCAGGGUCAUUUGCCUGCAUGUUAUUUCUUUCACAUUAAAUGUUUUGUACUGUGCAGAGAGGCUAUAAACAUCCAUGGAAGUGGCAGUUAGCAGCAAUAACUGGUAGCAAAGAAGGUGAAACGAGGUUUAAUGAGGUUAUUUAAAACUCUCUAGGCAUUGUCAGUAUGACUCACACAUAUCCCAAGGAAAAGACAUCCUAGGUUUCGAUUCAGCACAGUUGCUCCUUUGAUCAAUGGCCAACAAAGGUUCUAAC